rnacentral:rRNA from 1 species
UAGCGGCGAGUGAAGCGGCAAUAGCUCAAAUUUGAAAUCUGCCAACAGGCCGAGUUGUAAUUUGAAGAAAGCAAUUCUGGGUGUGUCUUUGCUCAAGUUCCUUGGAAUAGGACAUCAUGGAGGGUGAGAAUCCCGUGAUGCGAAGGUAGCACAYCURUGUAGAAUGUUUUCGACGAGUCGAGUUGUUUGGGAAUGCAGCUCAAAGUGGGUGGUAAAUUCCAUCUAAAGCUAAAUAUUGGCGAGAGACCGAUAGCGAACAAGUACUGUGAAGGAAAGAUGAAAAGAACUUUGAAAAGAGAGUGAAAAAGUACGUGAAAUUGUUGAAAUGGAAGGGCUUGAGAUUAGACAUGGUGUUUAGUGUUCCACUUUCUUUUGGGAAUGUGUACUCGCUUUUCACCGGGCCAGCAUCAGUUUUGRUGGAAGGAUAAAUAGUAUUGAAUGUGGCUGCUUGCAGUGUUAUAGCUUUACUAAAUACUUCC